UCCGGUUGAUCCUGCCGGACCCUACUGCUAUCGGGAUGGGACUAAGACAUGCUAGUCGUGCGCUUCUAAGCCAUGGUGGAGGCGCGGCGCACAGCUCAGUAACACGUGGUUAACCUGCCCUUGGGACGGAAACACCCCCGGGAAACUGGGGCUAAUUUCCGAUAGGUGAAGACUCCUGGAAUGGAUCUUCGCCUAAAGGGCGCUUAGGCCAUGCUUCUAGGCGCUGCCCAAGGAUGGGACCGCGGCCGAUCAGGUUGUUGGUGAGGUAAUGGCUCACCAAGCCUUUAACCGGUUCGGGCCGUGGGAGCGGGAGCCCGGAGAUGGGUACUGAGACAAGGGCCCAGGUCCUACGGGGCGCAGCAGUCGCGAAAACUCCGCAAUACGCGAAGGCGUGACGGGGCUAUCCCGAGUGCCGUCCGCUGAGGAUGGCUUUUCCCCAGUGUAGAUAGCUGGGGGAAUAAGGAGAGGGCAAGUCUGGUGUCAGCCGCCGCGGUAAUACCAGCUCUCCGAGUGGUGGGGACGUUUAUUGGGCCUGAAGCAUCCG
rnacentral:rRNA from 1 species